UACGUAGGGUGCAAGCGUUAAUCGGAAUUACUGGGCGUAAAGCGUGCGCAGGCGGUUUUGUAAGUCUGUCGUGAAAUCCCCGGGCUCAACCUGGGAAUGGCGAUGGAGACUGCAAGGCUAGAGUUUGGCAGAGGGGGGUAGAAUUCCACGUGUAGCAGUGAAAUGCGUAGAGAUGUGGAGGAACACCGAUGGCGAAGGCAGCCCCC
rnacentral:rRNA from 1 species